AUGCUUUUCUUCACCCAGUGCUUUGGGGCUGUGUUAGAUCUCAUUCACCUCCGCUUUCAGCACAACAAGGCUAAACGAGUGUUCGCCGCCGCCGGGCAACUUGUCUGCGUUGUAAACCCCACGCACAACCUGAAGUAUGUGUCCAGCCGACAUGCCGUCACUCAGAGCGCCUCGGAGCCCAGCAGCUACCCGCCUCCGCACGCCCCCCCCCACCACUGCCACCACCACUGCCCCCGCCAGCCCCGACACCGCCUCUGCCACCACGCCCGGCCCCACCACCUGCACCACCAGGAGGCGGGGCCGCCCACCGCGCGGGUGAUGCCCUGCCUGUGCCCCUUGUUCUCCUGCCAGUGGGAGGGCCACCUGGAGGUGGUGGUGCCCCACCUCCGGCAGAUGCACAGGGUGGACAUCCUCCACGGGGCCGACAUUGUCUUCCUGGCCACGGACAUGCACCUCCCGGCGCCGGCCGACUGGCUCAUCAUCCACUCCUGCUUCGGCCACCACUUCCUGCUGGUGCUCAGGAAACAGGAGAGGCACGCUGGGCACCCCCAGUUCUUCGCCACCAUGAUGCUGAUCGGGACCCCCACCCAGGCCGACAGCUUCACCUAUCGCCUGGAGCUCAACAGAAACCACCGAUGUCUCAGGUGGGAGGCCACGCCCCGGUCUAUCCUGGAGUGCGUGGACUCGGUCAUCACCAACGGGGACUGCCUCGUCAUCGGCACCUCGCUGGCCCAGCACUUCUCCGACAACGGCAGCCUGGCCAUCGGGAUCGCCAUCUCCGCGGCCACGGAGAUCUGCUCCUCAGAGGCUGAGAUGUGAGACAGAGGCCACCGGACACUCGCGUGCGGCCGCCCCUCCACUGAGAAGCUCUGCCUGGGCCCUCAGAUCUCCGCGUGCCAGGCCCCGGGCUCCUUUCUAUUCUUCUCCCUCCUCCCCUCUUCCUUUUUGUUUUUUUUGUCUCAGGUACUUUGUGGUAUCUGGUAUCUGUGUGCCACGGGCAUUAUAUUAUGUAAACGUCCUGUGAUGCAAGACCUUGGUGUGACGUUUGUCCUGAUUUGUUGGUGUAGUUUUACAGAACGCUUCUUAAUCGGAUUCCAUCAGAAUGGUGAUUGCUUGCCACCCGCAGUUCCCUUCUCUCCUGCUUCUCAAACGAGCAGCAGUCACCAAGGUCACGAGGCAGACUCUUGGGGUUGAAAGGAGUCUGAGUGUCCACGUCAUUUCCCCCUCCACCUUUUAGUCUGUUUCAGACUGAGCUAACUCUGAAAGGCGUGGAGAUAGCAGAUUAUGGAAGGGGACCUGGCCAGCUCAGGGGUGUGUAUUGCAGACCAGCUAGACACAACUCUGCGCCGAGGUUUCCCAGGAACCUCGGGGGCCACGCUGCUUAGACACGAGAUGGUAUCUCCUCCAGGGUGCAGGGCUGGAGGUACCAUCAUGCCAUGUGUCCUCUGGGUUGAUCCUGGGGUUCAGGGGAGCAGGCAAGAGGUUGAACCCUCUUUUGGCAGGCUGCUGUGAGCUUGCCCUCAGCCCAGGCCAUUUUUUUCCUGCUCUGAAAUCAAAGGCCUCAAGGGUUUGGUGCUUUCUAGAAAACCUCUUUGCCCUUCAUUGAGCAAGUCAUAGAAAAGAAUGGGCAAGACACAGGGGAAGAGAACCAGCCAAAAAAAGCAAAAGAUAAAAUUAAUCUCCUACCUCUGGGAGGGCAUUCUCCCCGGAGAGAGCUUUAUUAUCAAGUUAUCAAAUCCAUCAGUGUUUUCCCUCGGGGUGGAGUGCUUUUGUAUCCAGCAAGGAUUCCUCUGUGCUCUCGACAGUUCAUAACCAGAACCAUGACUCAGCAGCAGACACAAGGAACUCGGAGGGUGCACCUGGUCCUCUGGCCGGAGGCCUGGCCCCAUCACUUAGACACCUGGGAGGGUCCUCUUUCCUUUCCUUUCUUCUAAAAGGCCCUGGUGGUCCAGUGGUUAAGACUCUGCGCUUCCAAUGCCGGAAGCGUGGGUUCAAUUCCUGCUCGGGAAACCAAGAUUCCCACAAACCACGUGAUACAGCUGAAAAAAUAAAUACAUGAAACAUCUGAGGGCCCCA
rnacentral:lncRNA from 1 species